rnacentral:rRNA from 1 species
AUUGAACGCUGGCGGCAGGCCUAACACAUGCAAGUCGAGCGAGAAAGCACUUCGGUGCGAGUACAGCGGCGAACGGGUGAGUAACGCGUAGGAAUCUACCCAGUAGUGGGGGACAACAGUCGGAAACGGCUGCUAAUACCGCAUACGCCCCAAGGGGGAAAGCGGGGGAUCUUCGGACCUCGCGCUAUUGGAUGAGCCUGCGUCGGAUUAGCUUGUUGGUGAGGUAAAAGCUCACCAAGGCGACGAUCCGUAGCUGGUCUGAGAGGAUGAUCAGCCACACUGGAACUGAGACACGGUCCAGACUCCUACGGGAGGCAGCAGUGGGGAAUAUUGCGCAAUGGGGGAAACCCUGACGCAGCCAUGCCGCGUGUGUGAAGAAGGCCUUAGGGUUGUAAAGCACUUUCAAUAGAGAGGAAAAGCUUGUCGCUAAUACCGGCAAGCCAUGACGUUACCUAUAGAAGAAGCACCGGCUAACUCCG